rnacentral:rRNA from 1 species
UACGUAGGGUGCGAGCGUUAAUCGGAAUUACUGGGCGUAAAGCGUGCGCAGGCGGUUUUGUAAGCCAGGUGUGAAAUCCCCGGGCUCAACCUGGGAAUGGCAUUUGGGACUGCAAAGCUGGAGUGCGGCAGAGGGGACUGGAAUUCCUGGUGUAGCAGUGAAAUGCGUAGAGAUCAGGAGGAAUACCGAUGGCGAAGGCAGGUCCCUGGGUUGACACUGACGCUCAUGCACGAAAGCGUGGGGAGCAAACAGG